CUGCGCAGAGCUGACGCAUUACGCAG
rnacentral:misc_RNA from 1 species